UGGGGAAUUUUGGACAAUGGGCGAAAGCCUGAUCCAGCAAUGCCGCGUGUGUGAAGAAGGCCUUCGGGUUGUAAAGCACUUUUGUCCGGAAAGAAAUCCUUGGCUCUAAUACAGUCGGGGGAUGACGGUACCGGAAGAAUAAGCACCGGCUAACUACGUGCCAGCAGCCGCGGUAAUACGUAGGGUGCAAGCGUUAAUCGGAAUUACUGGGCGUAAAGCGUGCGCAGGCGGUUUGCUAAGACCGAUGUGAAAUCCCCGGGCUCAACCUGGGAACUGCAUUGGUGACUGGCAGGCUAGAGUAUGGCAGAGGGGGGUAGAAUUCCACGUGUAGCAGUGAAAUGCGUAGAGAUGUGGAGGAAUACCGAUGGCGAAGGCAGCCCCCUGGGCCAAUACUGACGCUCAUGCACGAAAGCGUGGGGGAGCAAAACAGGAUUAGAUACCCUGGUAGUCCACGCCCUAAAACGAUGUCAACUAGUUGUUGGGGAUUCAUUUCCUUAGUAACGUAGCUAACGCGUGAAGUUGACCGCCUGGGGAGUACGGUCGCAAGAUUAAAACUUCAAAUGAAUUGACGGGGUCAUAGCUG
rnacentral:rRNA from 1 species